GGCGAUGGAGUGGCAGAUCCCUUUGCUAUUUUGGGCUAUUUGGGCCUAUUUUGUAAAUGGAUUUUUUUAUUUUUAUUUGGUUUUAUUUUAUUUAGUUUGGGCCCAAGCAAAAAUGGGUCAUUACAUUAAGUUUUGGCCUUUGAUAUGGUUUAAACAUGUUUUUGAGAUGAAUUUGAGUUCAAAUGUGUUUUUAUAAUGAUU
rnacentral:lncRNA from 1 species